GGUUCAGGAUGAACGCUAGCUACAGGCUUAACACAUGCAAGUCGAGGGGUAGCAGGGUAGCAAUACCGCUGACGACCGGCGCACGGGUGAGUAACACGUAUCCAACCUUCCCAUAACUCAGGGAUAGCCUUUCGAAAGAAAGAUUAAUACCUGAUAGUACUUUUUCAAGGCAUCUUGAGAAAGUUAAAGAUUUAUUGGUUAUGGAUGGGGAUGCGUUCCAUUAGAUAGUUGGUGAGGUAACGGCUCACCAAGUCUUCGAUGGAUAGGGGGUUCUGAGAGGAAGGUCCCCCACAUUGGUACUGAGACACGGACCAAACUCCUACGGGAGGCAGCAGUGAGGAAUAUUGGUCAAUGGGCGAGAGCCUGAACCAGCCAAGUAGCGUGAAGGAAUGAAGGUCCUAUGGAUUGUAAACUUCUUUUAUAGUAGAAUAAAGUGAUCCACGUGUGGAUUUUUGUAUGUAUACUAUGAAUAAGGAUCGGCUAACUCCGUGCCAGCCGCCGC
rnacentral:rRNA from 1 species